rnacentral:lncRNA from 1 species
AACACUAGGUCUCACGUACCCCAGGCAUACAUAGCUGAUGAUGAAAUUGGAUUUCUUGAUUCUCCUGCUUCUACUUCCAGAAUGCAAAGAUUACAGGUUGUGUCAUCAGGCCUGGUUUAUGCAGUACUGGGGAUCAAAUCCAGGACUGUGCACACUAGGUAAGGCUUUGACCAAGGACCUGCACCUACCAGUCCACAAAUUACACUGGGUCUAUCAUCUGGCUUUUGUUAGGAUAAGGUCCGAGGUAGCCCAUGCAGGCCUUGAACUAACUAUGAAGCUGAAGUUGGUCUUCAUCUGAUACCUCUGCCUCCACCUCUCAAGUGCUUUGCCUGCAGCCUACACCACCAGACCACUGUUCAUUUCUGUCAUCUCAGUGAGACCUCUAUGCUGUGCGUGGACUAGAGGAGUGGUAAAAGAGAGAUCGGUUUUCACCUUUCCUAGGAAGAGCUCAAGAUACAACUAAAAUAAAAACCCAGCUUGAAGCACACUAUGUAGCAAGGUGAAGGCAAAUCCCACAGAGCCCAGCUCUACACAGCUGCCACUGGGUCUGGGAGUGGCAAGUGGCCCUGACGGUGGUCUGUAUGCUUGCACCUGUAGACUUCUCCACACCUUACUAUAGGUGUGUAUAAUGUUGACACACAUAAAAAUGUAAACCACAAAGAUCUCUUACAAAAUUUU